AUGCGUCCAGUAGGGGGAGGCUGUAUAUUAGUACAUGAGCCUAGUCAUCAAAACAGCAGACCAUAUCUGUAUGAUAGCGGCAGACAUUUUUUGAAGCGAUACGAAAUGAGCUUGCGUGACAUGGCUUCUUCUGGGGAAGAAAUAAUAUCCAUACAGAGAGGUUGCAACUUACCUGCGCUUAACAGAUGCACCUCCUGCUGUUCCCUAUUUCACUGUCCUUUCUGUAUUUCUGAUUUUUUCAAGCCCUCAAAGAAAAGUAAAGUACAAACUCAUCUUAAGCUUCACUUUUCUAGGGCAGUCGUCCAUGAAGGUAGCAUCAUUUUGUUGUAA
ensembl:lncRNA